CCCUGGUGGCUCAGACGGUAAAGCAUCUGCCUGCAAUGCAGGAGACCUAGGUUCGAUUCCUGGAUCAGGAA
rnacentral:tRNA from 1 species